AGAGGACCACAGACCUGAGGCCGGCUAGGACGAGAGGACCGCGGCUCACCUGCCAUCAACAGGCUUGCAGGGGCCCCUUGCUGCACCCAAGGGGCUGGGGCCGGGCCGACCACCGAGAGAACUCACCGUGCAUCCCCUGCCAGCCUCCUGCUCAGGGGCAGCCGGGACGUGGGCAGUCGCCUCCCAGACUCCAGCCAGGGUCCCGGAUGUGGGGAAGGCCACCCAUCAGGCGAGUGCAGCCACGGGUCCUUUGCUUUCUUAUUCACCGCUGACGUCUGUACUAAUGACGACACGCUUUCGAAUGCCAAUUGGCUGACUGAAGUACUAGCCACAGAGAUUAAACAUGACAUAAACCUGGCCAAUGAAGGGCUUCCCUGGGACAGUGGCUGGAACUAUCAGGGAAAAGAUGUGCUUUCUCUGUAGACUGAGUUGAUGCAGCUGAAAUGGACGGAGACCCAUCCGGAAGCCGUGGAGAGAGCCAGUGUCUCCUCAGCCCGCCCCAAGACGGGGGUCCUCCUCUCUCCCCCACGAUCCGGGCUUGGCCUCUCUGGGCUGUGAGACUCACAGGCUGUUACUGUCUCCGUAACUGGAACCGACGGACCUCGAGAGAAGGUGUCUUGUCCCUCCCACCGUGCCCACAACCUUCACGCGGUGCCUGACACAGAGCAGGGCCUCUCGAGCCUUUGAGGACAUCUGGGGGACGACUCUGAACUCACCCUCGCAUUGCACCGUCUCACCUCUCUCUAGGGGCCUGUCCCUUCCCACGGUGACCUUCGAAGCAUGUCUGUCUGUCACCAUGUCCCGGCACAGUCUGGCCAUGCUCACUCAUGUCCACCCGCUGACUCAUUGCAGCUGGCACGCUUCUUGCAAAUGGCAGAAACUCACACAUUUUUUGCAUGAGUAAAUAGUAACCAAAAAAAAAAAAGAUGGUUUACGUGCUCUACACUAGCAGCCAGCACGUCACCUGGAAACACCGAGACGAGAGCCGCCACUCAGACAUCUCCAUCUCCUGGGAUCCGCGCUCCGUGUGGCCCUGGCAGAGUGCCCAGGAUAAAGGGCAUGGCCAGCACCUGCGGCCUGCUUUGGGCCCCAGUCCUGGUCCCCGCAUCUGGACGAGGCUGUAGCAUCCCAGAGGCUUCUGCUCUGCCUCUGGGGACCUUUGCUUCCUUUGCAGAAGGUCUCCUUCUUCCUGCAGUGAGGCGGGUGGUUACUCCAGAGCUGCCCGCUCAGCAUAGGGCGACCCCCUGCCAGGCUGUCCAUGGUGCUCUUCCUAAGUGAGCCCCCCCACCCCCGGGGGAACCCCUGGCUCUGUUUGGGGCCUGGCAGACUCUCCCUAGGGCUGGCCCCUUCCUGCACUCCCCUCCCCUGCCCUCCGACCUCAGCAUAUGGCUCAGGGACACAGACACCCAAAGGCCUCCUCUUGGGUCCUCAGCCUUGAUCUCGGCCACGGCCCUGCUUAAAUAUCAGGAAAACGCAUUGGCCACAUAAAUAAUUCCUCACUAACGGCAGCGACAGAAAUCGGAACCAGCAACCCUAGAGGGCUGGAGGGGGGGGCCACCUGGCCUGUGAACAGGCACAUUGCUGCUGCUUUGCUGGCCUUCGUGGUUCAUUUAAGCGGCCUGCGGAAGGCCUCGCCUGAAAGUGGGUGCUGUCUGAGAUGGGGAGGGGCCCUGCGCCCAGUAGGACCCACACAACUGUGGCAGCCACAGAGCCACAAGGAGCCUCAGUGUAGGAGGCGAAGGAGACAACGUCCCGGGGGCAGACGCUGGGACUGGGCAGUCUCUGGUUUGACCUGUUCACCAUGGGUUAUUGACUUAACCUGUGGACAACUGGGCCAUUCUUUGAGGGUGGAGGGGGUUGGGGGCUUUUCUUCUACCUGCCCUUCCCAGGCCAGGGCCGCGGCUUCCUGACCUAGUGCACACGUCUGUCAAGCUCUCCAGAUACAAUGGGGCAAAAUGACCAAUGUGGCCCCCCGGGUCCCUGAGAAGGAUGCCACUGCAGUGGUUAAUCUGAUUUUCUGGCACCUAAAGCCACUAGGCUGAAGCCUAAAAAAAAAACGAAACAAAAUUUAAAAAGUACAAAACCACCUGAAGCAAAGCCAGGAGCAUAGGGAAGGGCCUUAGGCAUCAAAGAGGGGAGGGGAGGGUCGGGAAGAGGAACCUGUCUGACUCCUGGCUGCACCAGGAGAUUCCUUCCUCACCGAGGGCGGCGCUGGGGCCAGCUGCGCACCCAUCCCUCUGUAAAAAUGCUGCCCCACGCUCCACUCUCUGUGUUUAUCAAUUUAUUUUGAGAGUUUUAUGACACGCUUGUGGCCCACGCUGCAACUAUGAAUAUUAAACGAACCCAUUUCCUGCUGGGGUUUCCAGUCUUAAGGCCUAAAACACAAGAUGAACUCCAGAAACAUGGCAAUCAUAAGGCAGGCUGAAGAAACUCCACGUGGAAAGGAAAACUGUUUUCCACAAAUCUGUAAUAAUAUGCAAACCAUAAUAAUAAAGUACCAUUCCUGCA
rnacentral:lncRNA from 1 species